GAAAGGGCAAACCGCGGGUGACAGCAGGACGCAAAGCCACCGGCCUGAACCCGAAUACGAUGAUUUCCGGGGACGGGCAGCGGAGCUACCGA
rnacentral:ncRNA from 1 species